rnacentral:rRNA from 1 species
AGAACGAACGCUGGCGGCGUGCCUAACACAUGCAAGUCGAACGUGAUUAGAGAGCUUGCUCUUUAUGAAAGUGGCGCACGGGUGAGUAACGCGUAGAUAAUCUACCUGAUGAUCCGGGAUAACACUUCGAAAGGGGUGCUAAUACCUGAUAAGCCCGACGGGGUCUUCGGACUCUGGCGGGAAAAGGGGGGACCUUUAUCGGCCUUCCGUCAUCAGAUGAGUCUGCGUACCAUUAGCUAGUUGGUAGGGUAAAGGCCUACAAGGCGACGAUGGUUAGCUGGUACUGGAGAGGAUGAUCAGCCACACUGGAACUGAGACACGGUCCAGACUCCGUACGGGAGGCAGCAGGUGGGGAAUUUUUGCGCAAGUCGGGGGAAACCGUGACGCGACGACAACGCCGCGUGGAGUGAGUGGAACGGUCCCGUUAGGGUACCGGUUAAA